rnacentral:rRNA from 1 species
UCUGGUGAUGAUGGCAAAGUGGUCACACCUGUUCCCAUUUCGAACACAGAAGUUAAGCACUUUUACGGCGACAAUAGCUAGGCACGCUCUAGUGAAGAUAGCAAAUUGCCAGUU